GACGAACGCUGGCGGCGUGCUUAACACAUGCAAGUCGAACGGUGAACCCCUUCGGGGGAGAUCAGUGGCGAACGGGUGAGUAACACGUGAGCAACCUGCCCCUGACUCUGGGAUAACUCCGGGAAACCGGAGCUAAUACCGGAUAUGACACCUUCGGGCAUCCGAUGGGUGUGGAAAGAUUUAUCGGUUGGGGAUGGGCUCGCGGCCUAUCAGCUUGUUGGUGGGGUGAUGGCCACCAAGGCGACGACGGGUAGCCGGCCUGAGAGGGCGACCGGCCACACUGGGACUGAGACACGGCCCAGACUCCUACGGGAGGCAGCAGUGGGGAAUAUUGCGCAAUGGGCGAAAGCCUGACGCAGCGACGCCGCGUGAGGAAUGAAGGCCU
rnacentral:rRNA from 1 species